AUGAAUAUCCCGGAGAGAAUCAAGAUAUUUGGAUGGAGAAUUGCCACGGGAACGCUAGCAACAAAGAACAAAUGUAAACGCACAAUUGUUCAUGAUAGCAUCUGUGACAUAUGUUGACAGGGAGAUGAGGAUGAAUACCAUGCGGUAUUAGCAUGCACGAAGAGCAGAGCGCUGCGGUUUGCUUUGAGGAAGGAGUGGGACAUCCCGGAUGAACAGGAAUUCUGGUAUACUGGAAGUGACUGGCUCCAAGUUCUGUUGGACAAACAUGAUCUAGAUAUGAGAGUUAAAAUCCUUCUUUUGCUGUGGCGAUCCUGGUUCCUACGGUAUGAUUGUGUGCACUAUGAAGGCAAGGAAUCAGUAACGCGAUCGGUGUGCUUCCUCGUCAGGUAUGAGGAGGAGAUAAGAAACCUAUCUAUGAUAGAUGAGACUAAAGGAAAAACCAGUUGGUCUUUAUCUGUCUCUGGAGCAACCAAUCCUCGGGAUCUGCCAAGUGCAGAAAGUUCUCCUCUGUGGGACAAACCACCGAUUGGUGAGGUUAAGUUAAACACUGAUGCGGCCUUCCUGUCGUAG
rnacentral:rRNA from 1 species